GUGUAAGUGUUUAAGGGCGCAUGGUGGAUGCCUUGGCACUGGGAGCCGAUGAAGGACGUGGGAGGCUGCGAUAUGCCUCGGGGAGUUGUCAACCGAGCGUGGAUCCGAGGAUGUCCGAAUGGGGAAACCCGGCACGAGUGAUGUCGUGUCACCAGGCGGUGAAUGUAUAGCCGUCUGGGGGGAACGCGGGGAAGUGAAACAUCUCAGUACCCGUAGGAAGAGAAAACAAUUGUGAUUCCGUUAGUAGUGGCGAGCGAACGCGGAGGAUGGCUAAACCGUGUGUAUGUGAUACCCGGCGGGGGUUGUGCAUGCGGUGUUGUGGGGCCUGUGUUUCUGUUUACCGCCGUGAACAGCAGCAGUGAUAAAGCAGUGUGUUAGGUGAAGUGGCCUGGGAUGGUCUGCCGUAGCGGGUGAGAGCCCCGUAGUCGAAAACAUGCUGCCUGCUGGCGCAGGAUCCCCGAGUAGCAGCGGGCCCGUGGAAUCUGCUGUGAAUCUGCCGGGACCACCCGGUAAGCCUGAAUACUUCUCAGUGACCGAUAGCGGAUUAGUACCGUGAGGGAAUGGUGAAAAGUACCCCGGGAGGGGAGUGAAAGAGUACCUGAAACCGUGUGCCUACAAUCCGUCAAAGCCCCCCCUUUUGUGGUGGGGUGAUGGCGUGCCUUUUGAAGAAUGAGCCUGCGAGUCACCGACAUGUCGCGAGGUUAACCCGGGUGGGGUAGCCGCAGCGAAAGCGAGUCUGAAUAGGGCGUAUCCAAACAGUAGUGUUUGGUGUAGUGGUGUGUUGUGGACCCGAAGCGGAGUGAUCUACCCAUGGCCAGGGUGAAGCGCGGGUAAGACCGCGUGGAGGCCCGAACCCACUUAGGUUGAAGACUGAGGGGAUGAGCUGUGGGUAGGGGUGAAAGGCCAAUCAAACUCCGUGAUAGCUGGUUCUCCCCGAAAUGCAUUUAGGUGCAGCGUCACAUGUUUCUUGUUGGAGGUAGAGCUACUGGAUGGCCGAUGGGCCCUACUAGGUUACUGACGUCAGCCAAACUCCGAAUGCCGACAAGGUGUAAGUGUGGCAGUGAGACGGCGGGGGAUAAGCUCCGUGCGUCGAGAGGGAAACAGCCCAGAUCGCCGGCUAAGGCCCCUAAGCGUGUGCUAAGUGGAAAAGGAUGUGCAGUCGCGAAGACAACCAGGAGGUUGGCUUAGAAGCAGCCACCCUUGAAAGAGUGCGUAAUAGCUCACUGGUCAAGUGAUUGUGCGCCGAUAAUGUAGCGGGGCUCAAGCACACCGCCGAAGCCGCGGCAGUCCAUAUCCUUUCGGGGGUGUGGGUUGGGUAGGGGAGCGUCCUGCAUCCGGUGAAGCCACGAAGUGAUUCAGUGGUGGAGGGUGUGGGAGUGAGAAUGCAGGCAUGAGUAGCGAUAAGGCAAGUGAGAACCUUGCCCGCCGGAAGACCAAGGGUUCCUGGGCCAGGCCAGUCCGCCCAGGGUGAGUCGGGACCUAAGGCGAGGCCGACAGGCGUAGUCGAUGGACAACGGGUUGAUAUUCCCGUACCCGUGUAUGAGCGUCCCUGACGAAUCCAUACUGCUAACCACCCAAAACCUCACUGACCUGAUCCCUUCGGGGUGAUGGCGGUGUGGGGCUGCGUGGGACCCGUGUGGGUAGUAGUCAAGCGAUGGGGUGACGCAGGAAGGCAGCCGUACCAGUCAGUGGUAAUACUGGGGCAAGCCCGUAGGGAGACAUCUAGGCAAAUCCGGAUGUCGUGUUCCUGAGAGGUGAUGCAUAGCCGAGUGAGGCGAAUUCGGUGAUCCUAUGCUGUCGAGAAAAGCCUCUAGCGAGCGCAUACACGGCCCGUACCCCAAACCAACACAGGUGGUCAGGUAGAGAAUACCGAGGCGUACGAGUGAACUAUGGUUAAGGAACUCGGCAAAAUGCCCCCGUAACUUCGGGAGAAGGGGGACCCCCACACCGUGUAAGCCCUUGCGGCCCAAGCGGGAGGGGGUGGCACAAACCAGUGAGAAGCGACUGUUUACUAAAAACACAGGUCCGUGCGAAGUCGCAAGACGAGGUAUACGGACUGACGCCUGCCCGGUGCUGGAAGGUUAAGAGGACCCGUCAACCCCUCUUUGGGGGGUGAAGCGGAGAAUUUAAGCCCCAGUAAACGGCGGUGGUAACUAUAACCAUCCUAAGGUAGCGAAAUUCCUUGUCGGGUAAGUUCCGACCUGCACGAAUGGCGUAACGACUUCUCAGCUGUCUCAACCAUAGACUCGGCGAAAUUGCAUUACGAGUAAAGAUGCUCGUUACGCGCGGCAGGACGAAAAGACCCCGGGACCUUCACUACAACUUGGUAUUGGUGCUCGAUACGGUUUGUGUAGGAUAGGUGGGAGACUGUGAAGCAGUCACGCCAGUGAUUGUGGAGUCGUCGUUGAAAUACCACUCUGAUCGUAUUGGGCCUCUAACCUCGAACCCUGAAUCGGGUUCAGGGACAGUGCCUGGCGGGUAGUUUAACUGGGGCGGUUGCCUCCUAAAAAGUAACGGAGGCGCCCAAAGGUUCCCUCAACCUGGACGGCAAUCAGGUGUUGAGUGUAAGUGCACAAGGGAGCUUGACUGCGAGACGAACAUGUCAAGCAGGGACGAAAGUCGGGACUAGUGAUCCGGCACCCCCGAGUGGAAGGGGUGUCGCUCAACGGAUAAAAGGUACCCCGGGGAUAACAGGCUGAUCUUCCCCAAGAGUCCAUAUCGACGGGAUGGUUUGGCACCUCGAUGUCGGCUCGUCGCAUCCUGGGGCUGGAGCAGGUCCCAAGGGUUGGGCUGUUCGCCCAUUAAAGCGGCACGCGAGCUGGGUUUAGAACGUCGUGAGACAGUUCGGUCUCUAUCCGCCGCGCGCGUCAGAAGCUUGAGGAAACCUGUCCCUAGUACGAGAGGACCGGGACGGACGAACCUCUGGUACACCAGUUGUCCCACCAGGGGCACCGCUGGAUAGCCACGUUCGGACAGGAUAACCGCUGAAAGCAUCUAAGCGGGAAACCUUCUCCAAGACCAGGCUUCUCACCCUCUAGGAGGGAUAAGGCCCCCCGCAGAACACGGGAUCAAUAGACCAGACCUACACACCCAGCAAUGGGCGCAGGGAACUGGCACUAACCGGCCGAAAACUUACCCACA
rnacentral:rRNA from 1 species